rfam:Myotis lucifugus cont2.26787, whole genome shotgun sequence.
GAGACACCCCUCUGGGGCUAGACUUGCUUCAAUGGGGCUUUGGUUCUCACUGAGUCUGCCCCCUGAGUGUGUCUUU